rnacentral:rRNA from 1 species
GACGAACGCUGGCGGCGUGCUUAACACAUGCAAGUCGAACGAAGUGGAGAACGGGUGAGUAACGCGUAAUCAACCUGCACUUCAGAGGGGGACAACAGUUGGAAACGAAUGCUAAUACCGCAUACUGAAGGUGGGGAUUGAGUCUGAUUCGCUAGUUUGGGGGGUAACGGCCCAACAAGGCGAUGGUCAGUCGCCGGGCUUGGGUGAAGAAUCGCCACAUUGGGACGUGGACACGGCCCAGACUCCUACGGGAGGCAGCAGUGGGGAAUCUUCCGCAAUUGACGAAAGUCUGACGGAGCAACGCCGCGGGAGUUAUGGCGGGCUUCGGGUUGUAAAGCUCUGUUAAUCGGGACGCGGUACCGGAAUAGAAAGCCACGGCUAACUACGUGCCAGCAGCCGCGGUAAUAC